rnacentral:rRNA from 1 species
UAGGGAAUCUUCCGCAAUGGGCGAAAGCCUGACGGAGCAACGCCGCGUGAGUGAUGAAGGUCUUCGGAUCGUAAAACUCUGUUAUCAGGGAAGAACAACUGUGUAAGUAACUAUGCACGUCUUGACGGUACCUAAUCAGAAAGCCACGGCUAACUACGUGCCAGCAGCCGCGGUAAUACGUAGGUGGCAAGCGUUAUCCGGAAUUAUUGGGCGUAAAGCGCGCGUAGGCGGUUUUUUAAGUCUGAUGUGAAAGCCCACGGCUCAACCGUGGAGGGUCAUUGGAAACUGGAAAACUUGAGUGCAGAAGAGGAAAGUGGAAUUCCAUGUGUAGCGGUGAAAUGCGCAGAGAUAUGGAGGAACACCAGUGGCGAAGGCGACUUUCUGGUCUGUAACUGACGCUGAUGUGCGAAAGCGUGGGGAUCAAACAGG